CGGCGCCAUUUUAAGUUGGACUUAAUAGAAAGUCGUCACAAUAUUUAUUGCUCUUUUUUACAGUUGAUCCUUGGUGUGGUAAACAUUGUAUUUUUAUGCAUACUACAUAACACUCAUCGCGUAAAAUUGAUGGCUGACCAGAAUGGUCAAAUACAGAUGGCUGUAUGUACGAGAUAAGACUCCAAGGCGGGGUGCAACGACGUGAACCUAAUUCGUGCUAUUUUAUUUUAUUUUAUUUUAUUUUUUAUUAGCGCGUGUUAGUAAUGGAAUGAUGAAUGAUAUGCGUAUGCGUGAAUGACGAUUCUUUUUAUCCUCGAGACUGCCUGCACGUUUUAAUCUUAUCGUUCAAGUUUUUCCUUUAUGUUUUUUUUUUUGCAAUUUGUCAUGAUUAAAAUAAAAUAACGAGAAGAACGCGCAGGUUGAAUCGAGGCUGAGGCUUGGACCGUGUUUCGUUUUUGUAACGGGAGACGUGGAAAACGAUUGAAUUUGUUUUUGUCGAGAGAAAAAUUUCAUUAAAUGUUAAAUGAAUGGAUUGAUGUUUAGUACUUUCGUUGAAGUGAUUAAGAAGAAGGAAAAAAAAACAUAAAACAGAAAAGAAAAGUAAUAGAAUCGAUAAUAUUUUUCCACAUCUCCUUCGCAUCGACAUGAAACUUAUGAGACCGUGAGAGAUCAGGAUCGAAGAGUCAGGAGUGAGUGCUAGUGGAAACAAACAAACCUUGGCUACCUGCGAGUGGACCGGCUCGGUUGUCGGCUUCGUCGUCUCGCGAGCGAUGGUGAACCUUCGUUGUUAGAUUCCGUGCUCGAUUCCACACCUCGUGAAAAUACAUCUGCAAACGUUAUUAAUUCGUUAUUAUAUAUUGUUUUUUUCUCGAUAUUUUGAAUUGAACUUCAUAAAAAUCCUGGAACUAUCAAAAUGAU